CGCAUCUGUGCAUGCAGCAUAUCAAUAAGCGGAGGAAAAGAAACUAACAAGGAUUCCCCUAGUAACGGCGAGUGAAGCGGGAAGAGCUCAAAUUUGAAAUCUUAAAGGGUUUCCCUUUACGAAUUGUAGUUUAAAGAAGUGUUUUCUGUUGAGGUUUUGGUAAAAGUUCUUUGGAAUAGGACAUCAUAGAGGGUGAGAAUCCCGUAUUUGACCUUUACUUUCAACUUUGUGAUACACUUUCAAAGAGUCGGAUUGUUUGGGAAUGCAGUCCAAAAUGGGUGGUAAAUUUCAUCUAAAGCUAAAUAUUGGCGAGAGACCGAUAGCGAACAAGUACCGUGAGGGAAAGAUGAAAAGAACUUUGAAAAGAGAGUUAAACAGUACGUGAAAUUGUCAAAAGGGAAGCGUUUGACACCAGUGUUGUUUUUCUGAAAAUCAAUUAAAGAACUGUUUAUGCUAAGCUGUUUAGACUUUAUCAGCUAUCUGUUUAGUUUUGAGCUUUUCUUUAAUGCACUUUUCAGUUAACAAGUCAACAUCAAUUUCUUUUGCUGUAAAAAAGCUUGAGGAAGGUGGCUUGAGAUUCGUCUUAAGUGUUUAUAGCCUCUUGCCUAUGCAGUCGGAGAGAUUGAGGUCUGCAGCGUAGAUCCUUCGGGGCUAAAUGCAUUUGUGCUAAGUUAUAGCAUUUUAUAGACAACUUGUUGACUAUGAUUUGUCUUGUAGCUUACUCGCUUAUGUUAUUUUACCUACGCUUAGGAUGUUGACAGCAGUAUAGACUGU
rnacentral:rRNA from 1 species